GAAGGCCUGCUGGGACCUCAAGGCAACCCAUCAGCCACGGCUGUGACCAUUUUAGUUGCAGGCAAGCUGGCCUUUUGUUGAAGGUGCUUUGCAAUAUUUAAAUUGAAAACUUUACUCAGAAAGUUCUGCAGUCUGAAAUGGUUAGCUGCAGAUUAAUAAGGACCAAAGAUGUCACAGAGGUUGCUACUGAGUUCUUUGCAUAGAUUUCCCUUCUUAUUGGACUGGAGCCUGAAGAUACCUAUAAACUGAUGAUUAAGUAUCUACAGAGGGGCCAGACAUCUGGGUUUUGUUAUCAUCCAAGAAAAAAUAUUCUACGUUUUAGACCAGAAGAUAUAUCAUCCUGGGAAUGCACUGAUGGUUUGAAGUUUUAUCCUACAGACUCACCCAUCUUGGACUGGAUUUCAGGGCCCUGAGCGUGUGUUUUGUGUAGCAGCAGCAAAAUCAAAGGUGAGACCUCCAGGGUGCCACAUUGAAGGCACUCAGAGAAGAAUAAAAAUUCUUGACAUGGCUCACAAAAGGUCGAAAGAACAGAAAGAGAAGUAGAAAAUCAUGUCCUAUGCGUGGAGGUGAAACAUAUCUUACCUUAUUUCAUCUAUCUUGGAGCUAAGGAUUGAGUUAAGCCACUUAUAUCAGUACUCUGUAGUUUAUGAAGAGGCAGGCACCUACAAUGGACAAUUCAUCUUCUCCAAGAACAGAUGUACAUGAUGGAAGAAUUGGAAGUCUGUCUUUCAUCAGGGACUACUGGGAGAGCCCAGAUGAUGAGCUGAGACCAGAUGCUUAACUUUAAGCAGCUGACAUUAAAGGAGAUGAAUCUGUGACUUUAUCAGAAGAUGAGAUGUGAUUAUACCGCUGUGUGACCUGACACAACAAACUGAUUCUGAAGAAUAAACAUCUUGGAUUUUUCCAAAA